AAAAUUAGAGAAUAAUAAAGAAAACCAGAGAAGAAGGAAGAAGAAGAUGAAUUUGCACUGUUAAGAUUAAAUUGCAUUGUUUUAAAAGAACGUUGCACUAUUAUGAACGUAAGUUCAUUUUUUAAAUGUAAACUGCACCCUUUAAGAUGAAAGCUGCACUCUUUGAACGAAAGUUGCACUCUUUGAGAGAUAUUUACACUGUUUCUCCUUUUAUUGCACUCUUUAAGAGGAGAUAUUUACACUAUUUCUUCUCUUGUCGCACUAUUUCUUCUCUU
rnacentral:lncRNA from 1 species